AUUGAACGCUGGCGGCAGGCCUAACACAUGCAAGUCGAACGAGUGGCGGACGGGUGAGAUAUGUCUGGGAAUCUGCCCGAUGGAGGGGGAUAACCACUGGAAACGGUCGCUAACACCGCAUACCCUCGGAUGUGCCAAGAUGGGAUUAGCUAGUGGGUGGGGUAAAGGCUCACCUAGGCCACGAUCCCUAGCUGGUCUGAGAGGAUGACCAGCCACACUGGAACUGAGACACGGUCCAGACUCCUACGGGAGGCAGCAGUGGGGAAUAUUGCACAAUGGGCGCAAGCCUGAUGCAGCCAUGCCGCGUGUAUGAAGAAGGCCUUCGGGUUGUAAAGUACUUUCAGCGGGGAGGCGUUACCGACAGAAGAAGCACCGGCUAACUCCGUGCCAGCAGCCGCGGUAAUAC
rnacentral:rRNA from 1 species